rnacentral:rRNA from 1 species
UACGAAGGGGGCUAGCGUUGUUCGGAAUUACUGGGCGUAAAGCGCGCGCAGGCGGUCUUCCAAGUCAGUGGUGAAAGCCCGGAGCUCAACUCCGGAACUGCCCUUGAAACUGCAGUGCUAGAAUCUUGGAGAGGCGAGUGGAAUUCCGAGUGUAGAGGUGAAAUUCGUAGAUAUUCGGAAGAACACCAGUGGCGAAGGCGACUCGCUGGACAAGUAUUGACGCUGAGGUGCGAAAGCGUGGGGAGCAAACAGG